rnacentral:rRNA from 1 species
GUAGGGAAUCUUCCACAAUGGGCGCAAGCCUGAUGGAGCAACGCCGCGUGUGUGAUGAAGGGUUUCGGCUCGUAAAGCACUGUUGUAAGAGAAGAAUGUACUUUGAUAGUAACUGUUCAAGUUGUGACGGUAUCUUACCAGAAAGGGACGGCUAAAUACGUGCCAGCAGCCGCGGUAAUACG